rnacentral:rRNA from 1 species
UGGGGAAUAUUGGACAAUGGGCGCAAGCCUGAUCCAGCCAUGCCGCGUGAGUGAUGAAGGCCCUAGGGUUGUAAAGCUCUUUCACCGGUGAAGAUAAUGACGGUAACCGGAGAAGAAGCCCCGGCUAACUUCGUGCCAGCAGCCGCGGUAAUACGAAGGGGGCUAGCGUUGUUCGGAUUUACUGGGCGUAAAGCGCACGUAGGCGGACUAUUAAGUCAGGGGUGAAAUCCCGGGGCUCAACCCCGGAACUGCCUUUGAUACUGGUAGUCUUGAGUUCGAGAGAGGUGGGUGGAAUUCCGAGUGUAGAGGUGAAAUUCGUAGAUAUUCGGAGGAACACCAGUGGCGAAGGCGGCUCACUGGCUCGAUACUGACGCUGAGGUGCGAAAGCGUGGGGGGCAAACAGG